AAAUUGAAGAGUUUGAUCAUGGCUCAGAUUGAACGCUGGCGGCAGGCCUAACACAUGCAAGUCGAGCGGUAGCACAGAGAGCUUGCUCUCGGGUGACGAGCGGCGGACGGGUGAGUAAUGUCUGGGAAACUGCCUGAUGGAGGGGGAUAACUACUGGAAACGGUAGCUAAUACCGCAUAAUGUCGCAAGACCAAAGUGGGGGACCUUCGGGCCUCAUGCCAUCAGAUGUGCCCAGAUGGGAUUAGCUAGUAGGUGGGGUAACGGCUCACCUAGGCGACGAUCCCUAGCUGGUCUGAGAGGAUGACCAGCCACACUGGAACUGAGACACGGUCCAGACUCCUACGGGAGGCAGCAGUGGGGAAUAUUGCACAAUGGGCGCAAGCCUGAUGCAGCCAUGCCGCGUGUGUGAAGAAGGCCUUCGGGUUGUAAAGCACUUUCAGCGGGGAGGAAGGCGGUGAGGUUAAUAACCUCAUCGAUUGACGUUACCCGCAGAAGAAGCACCGGCUAACUCCGUGCCAGCAGCCGCGGUAAUACGGAGGGUGCAAGCGUUAAUCGGAAUUACUGGGCGUAAAGCGCACGCAGGCGGUCUGUCAAGUCGGAUGUGAAAUCCCCGGGCUCAACCUGGGAACUGCAUUCGAAACUGGCAGGCUAGAGUCUUGUAGAGGGGGGGGUAGAAUUCCAGGUGUAGCGGUGAAAUGCGUAGAGAUCUGGAGGAAUACCGGUGGCGAAGGCGGCCCCCUGGACAAAGACUGACGCUCAGGUGCGAAAGCGUGGGGAGCAAACAGGAUUAGAUACCCUGGUAGUCCACGCCGUAAACGAUGUCGAUUUGGAGGUUGUGCCCUUGAGGCGUGGCUUCCGGAGCUAACGCGUUAAAUCGACCGCCUGGGGAGUACGGCCGCAAGGUUAAAACUCAAAUGAAUUGACGGGGGCCCGCACAAGCGGUGGAGCAUGUGGUUUAAUUCGAUGCAACGCGAAGAACCUUACCUGGUCUUGACAUCCACAGAACUUUCCAGAGAUGGAUUGGUGCCUUCGGGAACUGUGAGACAGGUGCUGCAUGGCUGUCGUCAGCUCGUGUUGUGAAAUGUUGGGUUAAGUCCCGCAACGAGCGCAACCCUUAUCCUUUGUUGCCAGCGGUCCGGCCGGGAACUCAAAGGAGACUGCCAGUGAUAAACUGGAGGAAGGUGGGGAUGACGUCAAGUCAUCAUGGCCCUUACGACCAGGGCUACACACGUGCUACAAUGGCAUAUACAAAGAGAAGCGACCUCGCGAGAGCAAGCGGACCUCAUAAAGUAUGUCGUAGUCCGGAUUGGAGUCUGCAACUCGACUCCAUGAAGUCGGAAUCGCUAGUAAUCGUAGAUCAGAAUGCUACGGUGAAUACGUUCCCGGGCCUUGUACACACCGCCCGUCACACCAUGGGAGUGGGUUGCAAAAGAAGUAGGUAGCUUAACCUUCGGGAGGGCGCUUACCACUUUGUGAUUCAUGACUGGGGUGAAGUCGUAACAAGGUAACCGUAGGGGAACCUGCGGUUGGAUCACCUCCUUACCUUAAAGAA
rnacentral:rRNA from 1 species